rnacentral:rRNA from 1 species
UGCAAGUCGAACGGAACUUCUUUAAUUGACUUCUUCGGAAUGAUUUUGAUUAAGUUUAGCGGCGGACGGGUGAGUAACGCGUGAGUAACCUGCCUCUGAGAGGGGAAUAACAUUCUGAAAAGAAUGCUAAUACCGCAUAACAUAUAUUUAUCGCAUGGUAGAUAUAUCAAAGAUUUAUCGCUUAGAGAUGGACUCGCGUCCGAUUAGUUAGUUGGUGAGGUAACGGCUCACCAAGACCGCGAUCGGUAGCCGGACUGAGAGGUUGAACGGCCACAUUGGGACUGAGACACGGCCCAGACUCCUACGGGAGGCAGCAGUGGGGGAUAUUGCGCAAUGGGGGAAACCCUGACGCAGCAACGCCGCGUGAAGGAUGAAGGUCUUCGGAUUGUAAACUUCUUUUAUUAAGGACGAAGAAAGUGACGGUACUUAAUGAAUAAGCUCCGGCUAACUACGUGCCAGCAGCCGCGGUAAUACGUAGGGAGCAAGCGUUGUCCGGAUUUACUGGGUGUAAAGGGUGCGUAGGCGGCUUUGCAAGUCAGAUGUGAAAUCUAUGGGCUCAACCCAUAGCCUGCAUUUGAAACUGCAGAGCUUGAGUGAAGUAGAGGCAGGCGGAAUUCCCCGUGUAGCGGUGAAAUGCGUAGAGAUGGGGAGGAACACCAGUGG